AACUUUCGGCAACGGAUCACUUGUUUCUGGCAUCGAUGAAGAACGCAGCGAAAUGCGAUAAGUAAUGCGAAUUGCAGAAUUUCCGUGAGUCAUCGAAUCUUUGAACGCACAUUGCGCCCACUGGUAUUCCGGUGGGCAUGCCUGUUCGAGCGUCAUUAUCCUCCCUCAAACCCCGGGUUUGGUGUUGGACCCAAGUUGUGUGAACAACUGGUCUCAAAGACAAUGACGGCGUCCGUGGGACCCUCGGUGCAACGAGCUUUUAGGAGCACGCAUCGAGUUGCAAGGACCUUCCGGGCCGGUCUCCUUUACCAUUUUACAAGGUUGACCUCGGAUCAGGUAGGAAUACCCGCUGAACUUAAGCAUAUCAAUAAGCGGAGGCU
rnacentral:misc_RNA from 1 species